rnacentral:rRNA from 1 species
AUGGCGAUGCGCACGAUGGCCGCGAACCUGAAGCAGAAGCUCCCCGUCGCCGUCCAGCGGGUGUUCGCGUCUUCUCGGGCUCCGGCAACCUCCAACAAUACUGCUGCCGCCAUCGACAGCCUUGAUCCAGAAUUACGCCGCCGGGUGCUCAACGAUGUUGAUAAGCUCAUCAGGAGGAACCGCAGGAACGACCUCUUGGUCGCUGGUGCUGGCUUAAGUUUUGGAGGGAUUGUCAUGUCAUAUUUGGCUCAUCGACUCACCAGUCGAAGUGAUGACUGGCUCACCAAGUGA